AGCAGCCGCGGUAAUUCCAGCUCCAAUAGCGUAUAUUAAAGUUGUUGCAGUUAAAAAGCUCGUAGUUGAAUUUCGGAAUCUGUCCAUCGGUCGGGCUUUAUUGUCCGUACUGGUGUGGUGGGUUCUUACCUUCUGAAUAACCAGCAUGCCAUUUAUUUGGUGCGUUGGGGAAGCAGGACUAUUACCUUGAAAAAAUUAGAGUGCUCAAAGCAGGCUAGUGCCUGAAUACAUUAGCAUGGAAUAAUAAAAUAGGACGGCAUGGUUCUAUUUUGUUGGUUUCUAGGAUCACCGUAAUGAUUAAUAGGGAUAGUUGGGGGCAUUAGUAUUCAAUUGUCAGAGGUGAAAUUCUUGGAUUUAUUGAAGACUAACUUCUGCGAAAGCAUUUGCCAAGGAUGUUUUCAUUAAUCAAGAACGAAAGUUAGGGGAUCGAAGACGAUCAGAUACCGUCGUAGUCUUAACCAUAAACUAUGCCGACUAGGGAUCGGACGAUGUUAAUUUUUUAAUGUACUUCGUUCGGCGU
rnacentral:rRNA from 1 species